rnacentral:snRNA from 1 species
UUCUCUUGAGAUCGUAUAAAUCUUUUGCCUUUUACUAAAGAUUUCCGGGGAGAGGAACACUUUAUUUAUAGCAGCCUUCCAGUAACUGAAGGGG